rnacentral:rRNA from 1 species
GGAGUCUGGGCCGUAUCUCAGUCCCAAUGUGGCCGUUCAACCUCUCAGUCCGGCUACUGAUCGUCGACUUGGUAGGCCGUUACCCCGCCUACUACCUAAUCAGACGCAUCCCCAUCCAUCACCAAUGAAUCUUUACUCCUCGUUAGAUGUCUGCAAAGGAGACCAUCAGGUAUUAAUUCGCCUUUCGGCGGGCUAUCCCUGAGUGAUGGGAAGGUUGGAUACGCGUUACUCACCCGUGCGCCGGUCGCCAUCUAUCAAAGCAAGCUUCGAUAAUGCUGCCCCUCGACUUGCAUGUGUUAAGCCUGUAGCUAGCGUUCAUC